GGAUGGAGGGUAUCCACACUACCCACUAGGAGGAUGGAGGGUGUCCACACUACCCACUAGGAGGAUGAAGGGUGUCCACACUACCCACUAGGAGGAUGAAGGGUGUCCACACUACCCACUAGGAGGAUGGUGUCCACACUACCCACUAGGAGGAUGGAGGGUGUCCACACUACCCGCUCGGAGGAUGGAGGGUGUCCACACUACCCACUAGGAGGAUGGUGUCCACACUACCCAGUAGGAGGAUGGAGGGUGUCCACACUACCCACUAGGAGGAUGGAGAGUAGCCACACUAUCCAAUGGGAAGAAUAAGGGUUUCCAAGUUACUUACUUCUAUGGUUGGCUAUAAAAUACCAUUUCAAGAUCAAGUUUCUCAUGUUAUGUGCACCAUUUUCCACACACACAAACACACAUGCUUGCCCAUACAUACACAUAUACCAGUGGCUAGCCAGGUAACCAAUGACACCACUUCAUUCACUACAUGACCAGCUGACUUCCUCUCAAAAUGAAGCAGUAUCAACCCGAGACAAAACAGCACACCCGCACAAGAUGAGUCAGGGUAAAUAAGGUCGGAGACUCAUUUCUGUGACUCGGUUUCACCACAGGGAUUGAACUUUUGCUCAUGUUCAUGACUACAAUACAUUAUAUUGUAUAGGCAGGCCUCGGAUUUAUCGCAACGGGAAUAGAAUUUCAGAAUGCCAGUCCAUUUAUACCAGGUGCUUAUAUGAUUAUUUUUUUUACUAAUGCUUGUACAAGUAUUUAUUUUAUUUGUAGGCCAUAAAUCCCCCCACUUCAAAAUUUUCUUCUGUUUCAGAAUGGUCAAUUCAGGGAAAAUAUCGGAAUCUGUUCAGUAUUAGUAAAAAGUUCUGAAUUGGCAAUAUUUUGGAUCAGUAAAUUGAAUUGGGCACAGCCCUUGUGGGUGGGUGUCACUAAACCAAGCACCGAAGAACUGUGAUAUAUGUACUGUACAGUAGGGUCGGGAUAUAUCACAAGAUAGGGUCCAAAGAUGUUCGCAAUAUACUAAAUCGCGAUGUAAUCAAUGGGAAAAAUAGGGUUAGGUUCUGGAGGGCAAAAAAAGUGACUAAACUUGAUUUAACGAGUUCAUUUUCUUACUAACUAAAGCACCAAUAAACACUAAACUCGGAAACAACAGGCUAUUUCAAUAUCAAUAUCUAGGAACGCCAGACUCGGCAGCUGACGUACCAUCCUGGGAUCACCAGACUUGGCAGUAGAUGCCACACUGCCACUCUCACUUAACGAACACCAAAAGUAUUAGCUACAGUAUUAUAUCUUUUCCUUUAAGCUUUCCAUUUUCUUCACUUCACUUUUCACACCACUAUCAACCCAUUUACACUCGCCUUAGAAGUCGUAAUCUGAAGCAGUUGGCUGCUUUCUCGUCACUCACUCAGAAAGACCGAGCGUGAAUGCGCGAGUGAGCAGCCACGGUGGUGCCUCAGGUUAGCAAAUAAUGCAUUAGUUUGCCAUGGCGGUACAUUUGAAAUAUUUACCUCAUGAAAUAACAAAUUACUGCUAUACUGUAUAUAGGAAAAUGUCGAUAAUUUUGGGAGCCACGAUAUAAAAAAUCUUUAUAAAAAGUGGCAAUAUAUCCCGACCAUGCUGUAUAUAUACCUUACUCCCCACAACACUCAAAUAUAGAUAUUAAGGCAUAACACAUUAGGUAACAAAGAAUCAAUAUGAAAGAAGCAUAUUCUUCUUUUUUUAUUUUCUACCAAUAUCAAUAGAAGUGAAUUUACAUUUCAAAUAUCUUAGGAUAUUAGUAUACCUGUACAUAGGUUACAUUUCAUACACAAACUGAAAAAAUUAAAUUAAGAUACAGAAAUGUCAGUUUCACUUGAGUGCACAAAAUAUAUUUCUCUUGUGUAUAACUGAUAUACAAAGGUUCUAGUAUACAGUACAGUAAACCCUCAAGUUUGGCGGCUUUCUGUUUGGCGAAUUCGAAGUUGGUGGUCAAAGUACCCCGCCCCCCAUUUUGCCGACCAAACCCUCACCUUUGGUGAAAGUUUAAAUUUAAAUGCAAUCGCAACUAAUAAUUGUAGAAUAAUAAGUGCAAGAUAAAUCUCGCUUAAUACUACCGGUGGGUGAGUAAAUGGCAAAGCGCCAGUCAGCUGUUGAGGUAGCCAUUUUGACCUCGUCAAUCCACAUUCCAGCCAUUUGUUUGAGUGACUUUGGCCUUUGUGUACAUUUUUUUUUCACUCUCGCUUGACAAGGUGUUCUCAUGCAGAUUAAUGGCCUCAAAAGUACCUGGGGUAUUGGAGGGGAUGAUAGUGGUGGUGUAAGACCGUCUGAGCGCCCAGACAGUUCAAAUGAUGGGGUAAAAACAAAGAAGAAAAAUUCUCGUGAGUAUUGAGUUGGGAAGAAAGUGAAAAAGUACUCAUUUGAGGAUAAGAGAAAGACAGGGGAUAUGACUGAGCUUAACAAAAGACUUUUAUUUUGAAGGCUUUGAUCUAGUGGUGGCAGUGGUGGAGGAGGGGGGUGACGGAUGUUAGCCUUCCUUCCCCAGCCUCAGAUACCAGCUUAGUGUACAUUAAGCUCCUCAACUUAUAAUUUUAAGGUUAGUUUUCAAUGUUUAUGUUGAUUAACUAAUUAUUCAUUCUCUUUCAGCAAUUAAAUAUAUGUUAUAUGUGGGUAAAAUAAGAAAAAAUUGAGACUUUGGGUGGCCCCUCAGUACCAAUUAGGCUUUUACCCAUUGGAUUAAGCCCUCUGGUUUGGCGAUGGUUUUUCGGCACCAAUUAGUCGCCAAACUGGAGGGUUUACUGUAGAUGAUUUCAUGACCUUAAAUUCCUACACCUUGUACUUUGCUAUAAUGCCUCUUUUUUCCACAUAUUAUCAUUGACAUGAGUACCAGUAAUUACUUUUCAAAUACAAAAUUAGAAUAAACCAUUUUCUUUCAUUUUUUUUGUUUUUUUAUCUAUCUGCUGCCCACAUCAACAAACAA